rnacentral:rRNA from 1 species
CCUACGGGAGGCAGCAGUGAGGAAUAUUGGUCAAUGGGCGAGAGCCUGAACCAGCCAAGUCGCGUGAAGGAUGACUGCCCUACGGGUUGUAAACUUCUUUUGUCAGGGAGCAAUUGAGUCCACGUGUGGUCUUAGCGAGAUUACCUGAAGAAAAAGCAUCGGCUAAGUCCGUCCCAGCAGCCGCGGUAAUACGGAGGAUGCGAGGUUUAUCCGGAUUUUUUGGGUUUAAAGGGUGCGUAGGCGGAAUAUCAGGUCAGCGGGAAAAAUUCGGGGCGAAACCCCGUCGUGCCGUUGAAACUGAUGUUCUUGAGUGGGCGAGAAGGAUGCGGAAUGCGUGCUGUAGCGGUGAAAUGCUUAGAUAUCACGAAGAACUCCGAUUGCGAAGGCAGCUUACUAAACUGCCACUGACAUUGAUGCUCGAAAGUGUGGGUAUCAAACAGGAUUAGAUACCCUUGUAGUC